GUUGGGAAAUGAUGAGAAUAUAUAUCGAUUAUAUCAUAGGCUCAGUCAUAUGUGCUCUGCUGAACAAAAUAUUGCACGUCAGUCUGAUCCCAAU